ACUCCAUCUUGGUUGGGGUUUAAUAUUUCAAGACUGUGGAUCGUUUGGUUCCCCGCAUGAAGAACCCGACCAAAGCUCGCUUGUCCUCAUGGUCUCGAAGUGGAGCGCACGAAAGGAACCGCUCGGAUCAGGUCGGAGGGACUGAGCUCAGUCGCUGUGGGCGCGCAGCAUCAGUUGUGGCAGCAACACACGUUUGCCUUUAAAAAUGUACGUCAAGUCUUCUGCGGCAGACGCCGGCGGCUCCUUCGCGUUGACCUUUCUGGGAAAGAAAGUUGGACGACGUCACUCUGUGGCCCCUGCAGGCAAGAAAUCUGCCUGGGAGGGAAGCAACCCAUCCACCCGCCCAGAGGAUCCCACAGCGUCCCCAAAACCUGGACUGGUCCCUGUGACGGCACAGGACCCGGGUCUACCAGGAAGCGUGCCGCAGGUUCUGGAUGAGAGGCCCCAUCACCGAGACCACAGAACCAACUACACCGCAGGUCAGCGAUGCAUAGUGUCGCUUUAUUAAACUCACUAGCCCAGAAAAAAAAAUAUGACUAUUGACUAAAGUAAAAUUCUUAAUGUCUCCUCUUCUGAAAGAUAUUUCUGGAAACAAAGCUACACCAUGACGACAUGAUGUAUUUCCUGAUUGAGGAGGAAACAGUGACCAAAGACAAUAUUACAAAGAAACAUGAAACUGACUGAGAAGGCCAUUUCAUGCCCACAAUUAAUACAUAAUAAUAAUUACAUAAAAGAUAGAUAGAUAGAUAGAUAGAUAGAUAGAUAGAUAGAUAGAUAGAUAGAUAGAUAGAUAGAUAGAUAGAUAGAUAGAUAGAUAGAUAGAUAGAUAGAUUUUCUAUACACACAUUUUCUUAGCCGCUUAUCCUCACAAGGGUCGUGGAAGUGCUGGAGUCUAUCCCAGCCGUCAAUGAGAUUUCAGAUACGCCGAUACUUGCUAAGUUUUCACAGAUGUUACAAAUUUAUUGUCGUAUUCUAAUUGGAAUUAUGAAUAACUUUUCCCCUGCCUGACCUCUGUGCAGGCACUGUGUGUUCACUUCCCCCUCAAUGUGCCUUUUUUUUUUUUUAUUAUUAUUUCUAAUUUUUUUUUUAUGUACCCUUUGAGUGACUGACUGUGGACAAGUCGAGGCAAGAGUUGUGCGCCAAGCCCGAAAUUAGCCGGGACGUUCCAGCACGCCGCAAUCCCCGGAAAGGAUGAGUGGACGGCUGCGCACCAACAAGAAACGACUCCCUUCGUUACGGUGACUGAAGUUGCAACACUGCGACGGAUGAUUUAUCACAAUGUUAUGAUAUCUCACAGAUGGGAGAAAGAUACGAAGAUCGUGUGAACAAUGUAGUCCUGUUCUCGAGUCGACUGAUUGUAUUUUGGUUGCAUGUAUUACUCUGAGUGGUUUAGGUUCAGCUGAACCACAAACUUUAUUGGUAACGAUACCGUUUCUUUAAACGUGGUGGUGUCCAAACAUUUUCAUCCGAGGGCCACAUACAGAAAAUCAAUAGAUGCAGUUCUUCAAAAAUGAUCCUAAAAUAAUCAAUCAAGCAGUCAUCUAUCAUUUACAUUAUAUAUAAACAGUAUAUAAAUUGUUUAUAUAUAUAUGGUUUUGUUGAAAAACUUGGUGGGUAGAGAAGACAAAUAUACUCCCACAAGAGUGCAGUUAUUUUCAAAUAACAUGGCUCAAGUAAAAAGUAGUCAGAUAUCUAAGUAUUUACUUAAGUACCAUAUUUUCCGCACUAUAAGGCGCACCGCAUUAUAAGGCGCACCUUCAAUGACUGGCCUAUUUUAAAACUUUUUUUCAUAUAUAAGGCGCAUAGAAUAGACGCUACAGUAGAGGGUGGGGUUAUGUUAUGCAUCCAUUAGAUGGGCUGCGCUAAAGGCUCAAAAUUGAUCCAUAUAUAAGGCGCACCUGAUUAUAAGGCACACUCUCAUCUUUUGAGAAAAUUAAAGGCUCUUUGGUGCGGAAAAUAUGGUAUUCAAUGGGAAAAAAAACACUCAAGUAAAGAGUCAUUCGUGAGUAUGUUUAGGUGGAAGCAUGAACAUCAAAUUAUAUAUAUAAUAUAAUAAUAAUUUAUCAGUCAACACACACACACCUGCCAGCAUUUUCAAUUUUAGGCACCAAUAACGUGGACCCUACAGAAAUAUUAUUUCGCUUUAUUCACUUCACUUCACUGAAGAAGCCGUCUGUUGACUGGACCUGGUGAUUGUGAUUUUGUGUGUUUGUCUGUGCAUGUCGUGUUUAUUACACACCAUGCACUGAGUGUGUGGUUUGCACCAUUCACACAAAGCAGGCGUUACUUCAGGAAAUUGCAACAUUUACAAUUUGUGAAAAGGCGGGAGAAAGUUGAGUCCGAAAUCAAAAAUGUACCAUGCCAAAUAGCAUUGUUGUAGUAUGAUUCAGUUUUACAGUAUUCCAUUUCUGACGUUAUUGUUUAUUUAUAGGUGUUAAGUAGGUAAAAAUGUUAUACAUAGCGCUUAACAUUCAACAUUGAACCAAUAAUCACUGAGUGGCACAAUUGACCUCUCCGUAGAAAUUGCGUCAUCUGCGUCGCUGACCAAUCAGAGGCCAGAGAUCUACAUAAACCACGCCCCUUUUUUGACCUGCAGUUUCCUCAGACAACGUUGAAUGGUCCAAUAUAGCUUUUGUUAGCGUUUUAUCGCGUAUUUGGGUUCUUUAACAAUAGAUAUGGUUAAGAGGUGUAGUCACGGACUUUGUAAUAGUGACGACAGGUAUCCUGAAAGGCUAGUUGGUGGAGUUCAAUUCGUACCCUUUCCAAAACCGAAGACCCAGUACGAAAAAUGUCUUCGAUGGAUCAAACUUUGUGGAAGACCGCAUCAUCGACUGAAUCCAUCUAAAAUCAGCCGGAACAGAAGACAGAGUACGAAAAAUGUGUUCGAUGGAUCAAACUUUGUGGAAGACCGCAUAAUCAACUGAAUCCAUCAACCGGAACAGAUAUGUUUGCACGAAGGUAAGCCCUAAAUUUGAUUUUCAAUAAGUCUCAUAUAAAUGAAUUAGCAGUUCUUGGCUUGCAUAACAUAGCUAAGUGUGAAUGAUUGACGCACUUGAUCUGUGUUGAGCCAUAUUUUGCGAUGAUCUGACUGCACAAACGUGUCCCUUUGUUCGCGGCUAAUGAGCGAAGCCAAACCGGACUAGCAGUCCUAAAAGCCUUCGACGUGCACCGAGACACCAAGACUGAAGGAAGGAUGUUUGAGGACACUAAAGUAGUGAUUGUCGUACUCGGUCGGGACUUUCGUAGGUUCGGCACUAAUUCAAGAAUAAUUAUUGAGGGGAGCGCGUGACGUUACACAAAGAAAACGAGAGAAACAACUCGUAAAUCAAGCCUCGCCUUCUUUUCCUUCAUAAGGCGGUUCACAAACGGCUAUACAGAUACACAUACAGAUUCUGCACACAUGUGUGAUAGGUAACACGAAAAUAGGAAACUGUCAAUGACGAAUUCGUCUUGGGGUUAUAAUAUAUUAUAUUAUGUGGCUUCUCGGUCUUCCUCUGACUCCGGAAAGAUCUCGCGCUAAUAUCAAUGGUUUCUCCGUCGAUAUGCAUGGAAAUACCAUUGGAAUACCCCUCGCUGAAAUACUUGAAGCCCUGCUGUCUGCUUUUCAACGAUAUUUCACUGUUAGCUAAGAAUGCGAGUGAGAAAUCAGCCGGUAAAUGGGACAGUUUCGCUCUAUUCUUUUCUUGCUGCGCCGCCCUUUUUGCUAAUUGUUUGUCCUACGUAGACUCACGUGGUGUGACGUCACUUUAGGAGGCCUGGUCAAGUGCCCUGUACGGAGGGGUCAAUUGCUGCCAAUACAUGUUUAACUGUAGCUAUGGACAAAUUAUGGCUUACGGCCAUGCUGCCCUGAGAACGCCGAUCUCGGAAGCUAAGCGGGUUUGGCCCACUGAUCUAAAAAAAAAAAAAUAAGAUUGGGUGGCUCAUUGGCCACCAAAAGUAAAGUUUCCAUCCGCCAUCUUGAUACUCGCAAAACAACCAUGCCGACCUGUGCGUUCAUCGCCCGUUUCGUAGCUGGGAGAAAACAUUCCACAGGUAAAUUAGAAAGAUUUACUUUGACACUGAUAAAGUUUGUUUGUAAAGGUUUUUUUUAAUAGUCUGAUGAGCUCAAUUCAGUUGAACAAAGUUUUGUUUACAGUUGUUGUUGUUCACUGUUUACUCUCUGCUUCACCUUUACAGGCCGACGAUUUUUCACAAAAAAAGCGAUGUAAAUAUUUUCCCAAACUUCAUCAGCUGAUAAGCAAGAAAUCACAUUUUCUGUGAUUUUUUUUUUGAUGAAUUUCAUUAUACAGAACUCUGCAAAUGGAAGUUUAAAUUUUCAAUCUGAAAUAGGACGUCGCAGAGACAACAAAUAAACAAUGUGUUUAGCAUGUAUUUUUCCAUUGUGAGUCCUUAUUUCCAAAAACAUAUCUAACUGAUUGACUUAAAAUUGAAUGUUUUUAUGACAAAAAAAAUGCUCAUGUUUUUUGCUAUGUUAUGAUGAUAGUGCUUCAUACCGUAUUUGGGAAAAGUUAACAUGUAGCAGAAAUCGGGCCCGAGCUAACACGCAAGGUUUCUCAGUAGUCACUUUCCUUUGCGCUUAGCCUUUUUUGGCAUACCAGGACAAAUUAAAAAUCCUUCAUGCUACCGUAAUUUAAAAUAUGUCAAGGUCACGCGACCAGUUUUAAUUCCACGUGUCAAACUUUGAGGAAAUACCCAGUCAUAAUCCAAAUGUAAACCAUGUCCUCCACACGUUUUGGGAGUACCAAGAUGGCGACUAAGUGGCUUCAACCAAUCGACACACCGCUCGAUGUCUAUGCUCUACUCAUUCUUUUUUUUUUUUUUAUUAAUCAUAUUUGUUGACGCUUCGUAUGAUUGUGACGUGUUUGGGAUAGUGUCGGGUCUAUCAGAUCUCCACUAAAAGCUGAGGUACAUGCACGACGUCAAAUGAGCACACAAGAGGGCACUUUAUUUGAAAAGUAAUGAACGAAUCCAUAGUUGCGGGCUGAUUAUGGCCCGUGUUUGUUUGUUGCCUCGCGGUGAAUGCAAACAAAGAGGCGUUGUGUUCUCAGUCA